CAUAAGGUUUCCGUAGGUGACCUGCGGAAGGAUCAUUA
rnacentral:rRNA from 1 species